GGAACUGCCAUCAAACUUUUCAGUAGAGUAUGAUAGAGGAAAGCGGAAUUCUAGUGUAGAGGUGAAAUUCGUAGAUAUAGAAAAGAAUACCAAUUGCGAAGGCAGCUUUCUGGAUCAUUACUGACACUGAGGAACGAAAAGCAUGGGUAGCGAAGAGGAUUAGAUACCCUCGUAGUCCAUNCCGUAAACGAUGUGUGUUAGACGUUGGAAAAUUUAUUUUCAGUGUCGCAGCGAAAGCGAUAAACACACCGCCUGGGGAGUACGACCGCAAGGUUAAAACUCAAAUGAAUUGACGGGGACCCGCACAAGUAGUGGAGCAUGUGGUUUAAUUCGAAGAUACGCGCAGAACCUUACCAACACUUGACAUGUUCGUCGCGACUCUAAGAGAUUAGAGUUUUCGGUUCGGCCGGACGAAACACAGGUGCUGCAUGGCUGUCGUCAGCUCGUGUCGUGAGAUGUUGGGUUAAGUCCCGCAACGAGCGCAACCCUCACUUUUAGUUGCCAUCAUUAAGUUGGGCACUCUGAAAGAACUGCCAGUGAUAAGCUGGAGGAAGGUGGGGAUGACGUCAAGUCCUCAUGGCCCUUACGUGUUGGGCUACACACGUGCUACAAUGGUAUCUACAACAGGAAGCAAGACUGCGAGGUCAAGCAAAUCCUUAAAAGAUACCUCAGUUCGGAUUGCACUCUGCAACUCGAGUGCAUGAAGCUGGAAUUACUAGUAAUCGUGGAUCAGCGUGCCACGGUGAAUGCGUUCCCGGGUCUUGUACACACCGCCCGUCACACCAUGGGAGUUGGUUCUACCUUAAGGCAAGGUUUUAAGCCCUUGACCACGGUAUAGUCAGCGACUGGGGUGAAGUCGUAUCUAGGUAGCCAA
rnacentral:rRNA from 1 species